rnacentral:rRNA from 1 species
GGGGAAUCUUAGACAAUGGGGGAAACCCUGAUCUAGCCAUGCCGCGUGAUCGAUGAAGGCCUUAGGGUUGUAAAGAUCUUUCAGGUGGGAAGAUAAUGACUGUACCACCAGAAGAAGCCCCGGCUAACUCCGUGCCAGCAGCCGCGGUAAUACGGAGGGGGCUAGCGUUAUUCGGAAUUACUGGGCGUAAAGCGCACGUAGGCGGACCAGAAAGUCAGAGGUGAAAGCCCGGGGCUCAACCCCGGAACGGCCUUUGAAACUCCUGGUCUUGAGGUCGAGAGAGGUGAGUGGAAUUCCGAGUGUAGAGGUGAAAUUCGUAGAUAUUCGGAGGAACACCAGUGGCGAAGGCGGCUCACUGGCUCGAUACUGACGCUGAGGUGCGAAAGCGUGGGGAGCAAAC